UUAAAUUGAUACUUAAUUUUUUGUUUCCCUUUAUAAUCAGUUUAUAUAAUACAAAUGCAACUGCAACAAAUCUAUAAAUACUGGAAAUUUUAUUAUAUCAUGUCAUACUUAUUAUUGAUUUGAUCGAUAAUCAUCACUGCUCUGCAAAAUUCUGGUAAAGAUGUCGAAAAUAUUUUCGUUGAUAAUUUUUUCCUUAAUUGGAUUGUUAAUUUUGAUUGGCCAGGAAGUCACAGGGUGUGAGGGCGAUUGGUGCCAUUCUUUUCGAGGUUACCGUUGCUGCGAGGGUCAUGUAUGUCUGUCAAGCGUUCUAUGGGCUGGACAAUGUCUUACAAAAGAAGACUAUUAUAAAAAAGUAUACGUUCCAAUAAGUGGAUAACGUUUAUAAUUUUUAAUAAAAAACGGUGAUCAAUUACUUGAAAAAAAUUGCUGCUAAAUGAAAUUUCCUUAAUUUGAGUAUAAUAGAUUUUAUUCCUUUUCGUUUUGAAAAUUAACAAAAAUAUUACUAAUUCAAACAUUGUAUCUAAUAGAAACAAAAAUUACA